UAUAAAGCAGAUGCAGAGGGGUGGGCCUGUACUCAGGUCCCAGUGGCAGUCCUUGGGCCUGAAUUUUUCUCUGUCCAGGAUUCUUGCCUCCAAACCACCGUACCUGGUCGGCUGUGCACCUUUGGGAACCUUACAGUGCGUUUUGUGGGGACCAAGGUCCCAGAGCCCACCUGCCCGCUAGCUACCCCUUGCACUUCCAGGUUCCGCUUUGAUUAUACCAAUGAGAGGGCCCUGCGGCGCACUCUGCAGGAGGACCUGGUGAAGGACGUGCUGAGCAACGCGCACAUCCAGAACGAGUUGGAGCGGGAAUUUGAGCGGAUGCGGGAGGAUCGGGAGGUGCUCAGGGUCAUCUUCCCAACUGGAGACAGCAAGGUUGUCCUCCCCUGUAACCUGCUGCGGAUGAUCUGGAAUGCUCAGAAAAUCUUCCACAUCAACCCACGCCUUCCCUCCGACCUGCACCCAAUCAAAGUGGUGGAGGGAGUCAAGGAAUUGAGCAAGAAGCUGGUGAUUGUGAAUGGGGAUGACCCACUAAGUCGACAGGCCCAGGA
rnacentral:sRNA from 1 species